UCACUACGUCACUUAGGUGAGAACACGCUAUUGUCCUUUGGUUGCACUUUCAAGAGGAAGUAUAGUGGGACUUGCUUAUGAUUCACCCAACUUUCUCUCUAGUUGCUCUGCUUGCGACAAGCAUCGAACUUGGUUCCAAGAAAGCAGAGUUCAUUUCGAUGAACUCACCUUAGUGCCACAUGAUCGUUCGGCCAUCUUAUGGCUCGAUUCAUCAUGUUUGUGUACUAUGGAAUAAAAAGUGACAUCCAAAUAAUGGACCGUCUUACUGCCCGAUUCAUGUACCACAAGAGUUUUUUUAUAAAGGAGGAAUACCUCCGGCCUCUGUAUCAAAAAGAUGCAUGCGGCCCCUUUAUCUAUACCUACUAUUAAAGUAGGUAACGUUUCUGUCCGUCCGUCGUUGUCAUCUUGCAAAAAAGCCUCUGAUGUAUUGGGUAUUCAACCCCACUCAUGAUUUGAGUGAACAAAAAACGUUUCAGUUUUAUUAAAAAAAC
rnacentral:lncRNA from 1 species